AAACCGAGUGGGCUUUUAGGUAACAUUUGGCCCAAGUCAAAUUAAAGAAACCACAACCCUAAAAAAUUUGGAGCUAGCCGUCCCCACUCUCCAUUUUCGGCCUCUCUCUGCUCCAGCAUUAUCCUUCUCCUCAAAAUACUUUGCUCUCCCUCUGUUUUUUUUUUUAAAUCUUCCAUGGCUUCAGAAUCUCAAAAUCGGAUUACAAGCAAAUAGGCAAACCACAACAAACCACCACAAAAUCUUGACAAUCAAUUUAGGAAAACAAGAACCUAAACUAUAAACCAGACAGUUCAGUGGCAACAACAUAGCAACAACAAUUAAUCAAAGAUUUAACACAAAUCAAUUUAAAUAGCAGAAACAUGUAAAAUGAGCAACAAUAUCGAGAGAGGAACCGCAAUCGAAAGUGAAUCGGGUUACCGUCAGAGUCAAGCCGUGGUUCGUUGUGUGCGUAUUGCAGAGUGACGUCGGCACGAUGGAGUUGCGAUUGAGUUGAACGAUUGAUAGAUUGAGGAUGCGUACGAUGGCUGUCCAGUGUUAUUGCCGUCGGUGUGGCUGUUCGCGGCGGAGAACUGUGACUGAUUCGGAUCUGCAACAGGGACGUAGAUGAUUGCGAUUCUGUUGUUGAUGGUGGAGGGAUGAGAGCCGAGCGGCUUCGUCUCGGUGGAUGGCUUCCGAUUCUUCAACUUCUUUUUCUGCAACAAAAAAAAGAGACAAACAAACAUUUGUACAGAUCAUGGUGUUAUGGUUUUGUUUAGAAUGCUGUGUAACUACUGUGUUAAAUGAAAAUUGUUAUGAAUUGCUUUUAUUUAUGAAUGUCGGCUUAUGGUGAUUCAAUGGUUAAAACUUUGAAUGAAAUGCUAUGGUAUGGAUUCUUGAUUUA